GACGAACGCUGGCGGCGUGCUUAAUACAUGCAAGUCGAGCGGAAAGGCCAUGGUUUUGUGGGGUGCUCGAGUGGCGAAGGGGUGAGUGACACGUGAGUAACCUGCCCUUGACUUUGGGAUAACUUCAGGAAACUUGGGAUAAUACCGGAUAGGAGCUCCUGCUGCAUGGUGGGGGUUGGAAAGAUUCGGCGGUGCGGUAUGGACUCGCGGCUUAUGAGCUUCUUGGUGAGGUAGUGUAUUUCAGCGGCUUUGACGGGUAGCCGGCCUGAGAGGGUGACCGGCCACAUUGGGACUGAGAUAGCACCCAGACUGCUACGGGAGGCAUCAGUGGGAAACAUUGCACACUGGGCGGAAGCCUUAUGGAGCAACGCCGCGUGCUGGAUCACGGCCUUCGGGUUGUAAACCGCUUUCGCCUGUGACGAAGCGUGAGUGACGGUAAUGUGUCAAGAAGCACCGGCUAACUACGUG
rnacentral:rRNA from 1 species